UAUCACAAAUAUUCACUCUUCAAAGCAUACAAAGCACAUAUCACACCUCGCACAUUUAGAGUUUCGGCUCUCUGAUUACCCUACUUGUCAAGCAUUCCAAUCACUGAUUAUCACGCCGGAGGCGCUUCACGGGACACACCCCCGUGCGGCGUUGUUUUGCAGGUUAGGUCGCGACCUGAGCUUCCCGGAACAGUGCAUUGGAACCCCCGACGAGAAAAGGAGUUAUCAC
rnacentral:lncRNA from 1 species